GCUGGAAAAGGGAAAAAAACGUUUGCUUGGUUGAAACAUAGAUCAGGCCUUCAGUGUUGAUUCUUUAAAGUAAAAUAGCACGUAUU